rnacentral:lncRNA from 1 species
UUGGUUCCCGUUUGCAUUUCAGGCCAAGAGGGAACUCUGGCCUCAGAAGAACGGCCAGGAAAAAACAUGCACCUUGAGCUGGGUUCCAAUCAGCAAAACUUCAGCAAGCGCUUACUUCUGGCCAACUCAGGUCACCCGCAGCCAGGUGCAAAGUAAGGACACCAAAGUCAUAUGACCGGAAGGCUCCCACCCCGAUCUGAACUUGAGUGCCGAUGACUCAAAGCCUCCUGUAAUUUCCUCUAACCUGAUGAGCGCUCCCGCGUGGGUGGUGUCAGAUUGGAUCCAGACGUGAGGAGAAAGGCAAGAAGCAGCUGAAUGAGUGCUGGGUUUUUGGACAAGCUGCAGAAAUACAGGAGGGAGCCCGAAGACCUGAAAGAGCCAGCCUUCAAGGAAGCUGCCACAGAGAGAAUAUUCAUCCGUGCAGACACCACCUCAGGGGUUCAGGCCUGUGCAUCUGCUUUAGAA